UGAACUUUAGGGGAAUUAACAGGAGAUUUGGGCUGGACCUGAAAGAUAUAAAAGACAUAAACCAAGGAGGUACUAGGCCACCCUGUGGAGGGAGUCUGAGGAUGAAGCCUACUUCUACUGAGGACAAGAGAGCUGCCAUGAGGUGGAAAGAGAUGUGUGCCUGACAAUAGCUGAGCUCUGGAUCCAGCCUUCCGGAUCACCUGCUGUCAUCUGGCUUUUUCAGGGACACUUGCUCUUGGAAUGGAGCCGCCUUGUUGUGAGGAAGCCCAGUCCAUGGGGAAUGGCAUAUGUAGGUGUGCUGGCUGACAAUCCAGUUGAGGUCCCAGGCAACAGCCGGCGUUGGCCACCAGACAGAUGAGAAAACAGAGGCUCGGAAAGCUACAGAGCCUUACCCAGGGUGACUCAGUGGUGAAGAUGGAGUCUCUCCCGGUAGCCCAGGCUGAGGUGCACUGGUGCAAUCUCUGCUCACUGCACCCUUCGUCUCCUGGGUUCAAGCAAUUCUUCUGCCUCAGCUUCCCGAGCAGCUGGGACUACAGGCGCGUGCCACCACACCCAGGACACAUUUUCUGGGCUCUCCUGAGGCUCAGAGCUGCCUGGCGCCCAGAACAUCAACCACCUAAAGAAAUGCGUUACUGAGAAAGAGGAAGGAAUCCCGCAAGGGCAGAAAUCUUGCGUUUGAGAAACUGCUGUUGCUUACUCUCUAUGGCAUUUUUACCACAAAUGUAAACGUGGGUUUCACUGUUAAAAUCCCAGUUUGCUGAAGACAAGUCUACCUGAUGUUUCUGAGUCAGAUCCCCCCCAAGCUGGAUCCAUAUGGCUUGAUAUUUGUUUUGCAGCCCUCCUUGGAGGCAGAGGGAUGAGUCUCAUGACCUCUUAAGCUCCUCUUGGCAGGGCAGGUGUGGUUUCUUUGUGAGACAUCACUGGCUUUGCAGCUUGUGGGACUCAGAGCAUCCUCCCCUGCUAUGCAACCCCUUGCUGUUGCUUUUAUGUUGUUUCCAGUGGGUUCAGACUUGGCAGUGUCCAGAUGGCCUUGGGGUUGAUGGCUGAGCACAGACUUUGGAAAGCUUUAUGUUUAUGGUCCAGACUUCGUUUGCAAAUAACUGUAACUGUGCUGUUCAAAUGUACUUGCCCUUGACCAAGUUUUGUGAGCUCCUGGGUUGUGAUUCAGGAAAACUAGUAAUUGCAAAGCUACACAGGAGUAAUUCAGGCUCUCCUGCUCCCUCUCCAUUGGUUGAGGCGGUCUGAGAUCAACCAUACCUUCCUCUACCAUGGUUCCCUGUCAUUUUCCCUGGAGGAAUCUCCUUCCUCCUUUCUCACCCCCAUGACUGGGGCGGGGCUGCCCCUCUGCCCUCAGCUCCAGGGACAUGAGACCAGCCCCAGGUAAUCAGAACACUCCACACCUCUGCCUGUGAUGAUUGGUUAAAGAAUGUGCACAUGACUCAGCUAGGCCAGUGAGAUUCCAUGCUGGUAUUUUUGCUGGUAAAGAAGUGUUUCUGUUUUUUGUUUUUUUUCUCUUGGUUUGCUUCUUGCCACCAUGCAAAGAGAGCCUUCAAGACUAACAGUGAAGAAAGCAGAGCCACAUGGUGGAGAGAAACAGAUUCCAAAUGAUGUCAGUGGGGCUCCUUGGUCCAGCUGCACCUGAAGCCUGGCCUUUUUGAUUUUGUGAUCCAGUCAACUUCCCUAUGUGCUCAAACCAAUCUGAUGGCAUCAGGCUCUGCUUGUGUGCCUCCCAUGGCAAGGAACUCAGUUUCUCUCCAGGCUGCUCACUCUUAGAAUCCAGCCACCAUACUGUGAGGAAGCCCAAUUUAGCCUAUGCAGAGGAACUAGUGAGAGGCCACGUGGAGGUGCUUCAGUUGACAGCCCCAGGGAGCACAGUGCUUGUCCAGACCCACCCAGCUGGGAGGGGACAGAGGAAGAAUUUGAGCCCAGGGUCUUACUCUGCUUGUCCAGGUGGUGCAAUCUUGGUUCACUGCAGCCUCCACCUCCCAGGCUCAGGUGAUCCUCUGAGCUCAGUCUCUUGAGUAGCUGUGACUACAGAGUUGACCCAUCUCCAGCAAGGACAGAAAGACGAUGGGCAUCAUGCACAGCUCUCUGAAAGAACAGAGAUCCUGUUAACAGCAAGCCAUGUGUCUCUCAGGUCCCCCCAGCCACCUGCAGCCCAGCCAUGCUGCGUUAGAAACCACAGAUGCAACCCACGACCUCGUUCUACUGACUGAGAGCAGAGCCACGGAAAAGGAAUUGGUGCAAAGAUGAAUUGAGUUAAUAGAUGAAAAUGCUUCAAAUAGUACUUGGCAGAGUUAGCAGCAAGUAAAUGCUGGUCAUGAUUAUUCACGGAGCCACGGAUAAAGUCACAUGUACCAAGCCCCUUCUCUGUGCUGCCGUCAGGGUUCCAGUGAGGGACAAGACGCAGGAAGGUAAACAACAACAGUGAACACUGGAACACUCAGGAUGUACGAGGCCCUUCGUGCCAUUGUUUCAGUCGUCACAGAAGCCCCGUGGGAUGGGCGCUGUUGUUAUAACCAUUAAGGGAAUGAGUGAACAGAGGCCCAGAGAGGCUAAGCGACGUGUCUGAGGACACACGGUUCAGGGGUAAUGAAGCCUGGAUUGGAGCCCGGGUGGUCUGGUUGCUAAACUCGUGUGCGUCACCAUUAGGCAGCGUGGCCACUGGACAGUGCAUGCAUUCAAGGGCAGCAGUGCUCCCCAAGAGCCCUCUGCAUCAAGAACUGAGCAGUGGGCUCUUCCCCAGGCCAGGGGGGCAGUGGGGUCCUCGGAGCUGGCCCAUCCAAGAGAAUCUUCGGGAGUCACCUCAUACACCACCAGCACCCUGACUUCCAUCCGACUCUGGAAAGACUUCUCUCCCUGGGGGUCCCCUGCCCACUCCCACUCUCCCAGGGAGGCUGUGAAUACACAUGCCGCAGAAGCGGGGGCUGGCAGAACCCCGCCUUCCCUCCCCGCUCUCCUCCAUGAAGAGACCAGCUCCACCGCUGCUCAGGCUUCGUGUGAAAGGCUCCGAGGCAGGUGCCCAUCUCACAUCGCCGCUUCUUUUGUCCGGACCAGGUAGCAUUUAUUAUUAAUGGUAAUAAUAAUUAUAAUUGCUUAUAGAUCUCCCCCGAUGCGCCCAGCACUCCAGCCAGCACUGAAUUCGGGUCACUGCCCCGCAGACACACAAAUCUAUGCCCCGUGCAAUGCAUCGCACAGUGUUAGCGGUCAACAGACAUCCAGUAACGUGACCAGGUCCACGCGGACGGUCCUGGCCUGCCGUGUCCCGGCGCACAGCCUUGUGAGCUUCAUGGCUAACCAGAGAGCCCAGUGGAAUCAG